rnacentral:rRNA from 1 species
GACGAACGCUGGCGGCGUGCCUAAUACAUGCAAGUCGAGCGAACGGACCCGAAGCUUGCUUCUCUCAUUUUAGCGGCGCACGGGUGAGUAACACGUGGAUAACCUACCUAUCAGACUGGGAUAACUUCGGGAAACGGGAGCUAAUACCGGAUAAUAUUUUGAACCGCAUGGUUCAAAGGUGAAAUACGGUCUUUCUUUCUGUUCUAGCUUGAUCCCCGCUGCAUUAGCUAGUUGGUAAGGUAACGGCUUACCAAGGCCACGAUGCAUAGCCGACCUGAGAGGGUGAUCGGCCACACUGGAACUGAGACACGGUCCAGACUCCUACGGGAGGCAGCAGUAGGGAAUCUUCCGCAAUGGGCGAAAGCCUGACGGAGCAACGCCGCGUGAGUGAUGAAGGUCUUCGGAUCGUAAAACUCUGUUAUUAGGGAAGAACAUAUGUGUAAGUAACUGUGAACAUCUUGACGGUACCUAAUCAGAAAGCCACGGCUAACUACGUG